rnacentral:rRNA from 1 species
GACGAACGCUGGCGGCGUGCUUAACACAUGCAAGUCGAACGGAAAGGCCCUGCUUUUGUGGGGUGCUCGAGUGGCGAACGGGUGAGUAACACGUGAGUAACCUGCCCUUGACUUUGGGAUAACUUCAGGAAACUGGGGCUAAUACCGGAUAGGAGCUCCUGCUGCAUGGGGGGGGUUGGAAAGUUUCGGCGGUGGGGGAUGGACUCGCGGCUUAUCAGCUUGUGGGGGGGGUAGUGGCUUACCAAGGCUUUGGCGGGUAGCCGGCCUGAGAGGGUGGACGGCCACCUUGGGACUGAGAUACGGCCCAGACGCCUACGGUAGGCAGCAGGGGGGAAUAUUGCACAAUGGGCGGAAGCCUGAUGCAGCAGCGCCGCGUGCGGGAUGACGGCCUUCGGGUUGUAAACCGCUUUCGCCUGUGACGAAGCGUGAGUGACGGUAAUGGGUAAAGAAGCACCGGCUAACUACGUG